UACAGAGGAUGCAAGCGUUAUCCGGAAUGAUUGGGCGUAAAGCGCACGUAGGCGGUUCGUUAUGUCGGAUGUGAAAGCCCUUGGCUUAACCGAGGAAGUGCAUCCGAAACUGGCGAGCUAGAGUACUAAAGAGGAUCGCGGAAUUCCCGGUGUAGAGGUGAAAUUCGUAGAUAUCGGGAGGAACACCGGUGGCGAAGGCGGCGAUCUGGGUAGAUACUGACGCUGAGGUGCGAAAGCGUGGGGAGCAAACAGG
rnacentral:rRNA from 1 species